GUUAUUUAAUUCGAUGAUCCCCGACUAACCUUACCAUAUUUUGUAUAUUUAUUUAUAUAAUUUAUAUAAAUAAUUACAGGCGUUACAUCGUUGUCUUCAGUUCGUGCUGCAAAGUUUUAGAUUAGUUUCAUGAACGAACAAAUCUCCAUAUGUAUAUUUAUCAAUUAUACAUAAUAUUUUAUAUCUAUUGGAUAUAUGAUGAAAGGAAUUAAGACAAAUCAUGAUGAUCCUUAUAAUAUGGGCUAUAGACGUGCUAUAAUUAAAUGAUAACAAAACUAUAUUAAAUUAUUAUAAAAAAUAAUAAAUUAAUAGUAUAAAACAUUUAAAUCUUUAAUAUAUUACUAUAUUAUUUAUAAUAUGGAUUAAUAUCUGAAAUUCGAUAUUAUGAAAAAAGAAUUGCUAGUAAUACGUAAAUUAGUAUGUUACGGUGAAUACUUUAACUGUUUCGCACUAAUUACUCAUCACGCGUUGAAACAUAAUGUUAUCUAAAUAUAUUUAUAUAUUUAUAUAUUAUAUAUAUCUUAUUAUAUAUAAUUAUAUUUAUAUUAUAAAUAUAUAAGAAAUAUU
rnacentral:rRNA from 1 species